UUACUCCGCAAAUGCCAAACAGUGCUAACGCUACAUGUAACGUCCUUAUCUCAAUCACAGUGUAGAAGUUAUCUAAGAUUUCUAUAAUCUAGCUAACACCACCGUGGAAGUAAAAAAAUCGAAAGCUCGAAAGUUUGUGGUGCGGUUGAGGAGAAAAGUGAUUUCAUUUGAAGGAAAGCAACCAUGUUUUUAAAUUAGCUAAUUAGAGAAAUUGCUAACGCUACCUAGCUAGCUUAAUAGGUGUAGCAGAGGAGCUGCUGUGCUUUUCACCUGGAAACAACUUAAAUGGAGCAGCGGGCAGCCACUCAGCACUGCGCCAGGGAACCAACUCCAGUUCUGAGACCAUUACCUCCCUCUAGGGCAAUGGCAGAAGUGACCCAUUCUCUGAAACCCUACUGAAGGAGGUCAGGCCAGCUGAAUCAGGAUGCAUGCAGCAACGCAGACGUAUGCAAAAGCCAAUGCAAAUAAAGCCGAGGCAGACACGCCGCCAUCUUGGAGAUGACAGACGACGACCAGACGAAAAGGCCACGGCCCCAAUACUCUGGUUGUCUCAUGACAGUGAUGUCAUUACAAGCUGCAAGACAGCAGCAGAGGCCAUCCAUUUCUACCCCGACACUGAUGGGAAGGGGGAGUGCAGGAAGCCUGGGUGGUGGUGACGUUGGCUGAGGGGGAAAGUAACAUGAGGAGAACAGCACCAUGAGGAGCCGGGAGGGGAUGGGUUUGUUAUCCUGGUAAUUAAGGACAGAGUGGCUUCCAUGCCGGGUGUGCGGACAGGAUGUGGCAAAUUACUGGAGUCUUUGUGAAGAAAAGCUGCUCCCUCUGUGCUCUGACCAUUCUCAGGGGACCUCAUCAUCUUCUCUAACAGUCAGGAUGGGAUUUUGUACCCUCUAUUCCCUCACCUUCUCCUUUCCUCUUUCUGUCUUUCCGUUCUUUUCCUUUCACUUCCCUCUGUCACCUUCCUCCUGAAAUACAUCUCAAAGUCUAAAGUAACAUUGCAGCUUUAGAAUUGUAGAUGAGUAUGCUUAUGGUGGACUUUUUGACUGAAAUGUAAAACUUUCAACAGCUAUUUGUGUCGUUUUUUUUCUGGUGUUUUCAUGAUAAAAUACGGUUUCAUAUUUACAUACUGAGAAAGAUUUCAAUUAGCCAAUUUUUCUAACAUCAUUAGACGGAUUUUGAUAAUUAACUGUGUGUGUGUUUCACGAAGGUGAUUCCCCUGACAUGCAGAGAAGGAUAGAGAACCAGACAAACCGUGAAUGGUGGGGCUUGAGAAAACGGUGGCCCUCACAGCGACACGCAGUAGCAGCAGCAGCCACAUGGCAAGACAGCAAGAGAACACUCUGGGGUUUAAAAGUACCCAAAGCAUCCUGGGUAAUUAGCCAUUACGGCGCUGUCACAGAGGGUUCUGCAGUCAAUACAGAGAUAAUUUGGGCAAUGGUGAAUGACAGUGCUGUCCAGGCUUUUGGGAUGAUCAAGGACAGAUCCAGCUGCACCAGGCAUCUGUCAGGCCCAUGAAUCACUCCUCCAGCCAGCAGCUGGGUGAGUGGAGCAGAGAGAAUCGCUGGAGAGGCAUGUGCAGACACACAAAUAAACAUGUUCCCCCUCUCUCCCCUUGCCACACCGGGAAAUGGCUAUUAAAGGUCUGCCGUUACAGAGCACCGAGUGGAAAAGGCUUGUUACCUUCAGUGGCAAAUGAAUGACAUUGGGAAUAAGGUGAGGAAUAAAAGUCAGACCAAGGGGACAUUUCUCACAGUUAUUUCGGCUGCGUAGCUAAAACCGAGGAAUGCAGUUGGCAUGCAAAAUUAGAUCAUCCAGUUUACAAAGAAAGGUAUUAUAACUAAUGUGUUACUCAAAAACAGCAUGGCUUCCCAUCUUGAUGCUAAAAUCUGGAAAUUGCUCCUUGCUCUUGACUCACUUAUUGACAGUUGAGAACAGUUAUUGAGUUACCAGCAGGUUUUAAGAUUUAAUAUUUUAAGUACAAUGGCAUUCAUGUCCAACGGCAAACACUUUAUUGUGAUUAUAGAAAAAACAGUGAGCUGAGAAGACAGAGGCACAAAGCAGCAUACUUGUGUGGCAUGCUGUAUACACAAUACUCCUCUUCCUUAAACUUCAUAAAGUGGUGGAGUGUCAUCCACCUAUAUGUCAGGCCUGAUCUCACUGUGUUUAAACCCAAUGUUUCAGCUAGCAUGUGUGGAUCAACAUUUUUAAUUUCUAACUGGAAAUGUGGAAAUUAUACCAUCUCUGGUGAUGCUAACAAAAAUGUAUUGUGCAAAUACAUAAAUAAAUAAAUAAGUACAUAAGUAAGUAAACACAUUAUAAGAAUUAUUGGUGCAAUUUCAUACACUUGAAUUCUGUACACAAUACAUAAAAGUCAAAAAGUCAGUUAUUACUGUUGUGAGCUUCACAAACUUCUACUGAUGUUUCACUACACAAAACUAUUUCAGAUGUAUUUGUGUUGAUGAUUGGAAGAAAUCAAAUAAUUUUGUGGGAUAAAAAUAUCUAUAUAAUAUUUUACUGCUUGUCACAAUGGGGCAAGAAAAAAAUAAUGCCCAGACUGUAUCAUAUAUUAUAAGAGUUAAAACAAACAACAAACCCACUUUUGUAGGAUCACCAUAGAUUUUGAACAGCUAACAUUAACUUAAAACCUUGUUCCUGUUGAUAUCAUAUUAUUUAUUUAUCUAUCGAAAACUUUUUUUAUUUUAAGAUUUUAUUGAAUAGAACAAUGAAUGCAACUGUGAAUACAAAACAACACACACAUUGUUAUUAUUAUGAUUAUUAAGUAUACAAACUUUUAAAUGAAAGGCCCUGUCCAUGUCCAUUGUGUGGCGCCCCCUGUUGAAAUAGUGUUUCUUUCCCUCUAACUUUGUUUAUAUAAUAAUUAAAUUAAUUUAAGAUAUAUUUCAUGCAAGGUCUGACAAUACGUGACAGCUUAACAUGAGUUUAAUGUCAAGUUUUGUUUAUAUUUGCAAAUGUUUGUAUUUUGGUCAGUGAUGGGCCAACUGCAAAUUUUUACUUACUAAUAUUUAUAUAGUAAAAUGUAUUUGGAUUAGAUUUUUAAAUUCCUGCAAUUCAUUUCUAUGACCUAAUUUAAUUGUGGUAUCUUUCUAUUAGUGAAGUUAUUGGUCCCUUCAGUACAGUACUGUCCAUUCCUGCAAUUAUCAGCCUGGCCGAAAACAUCUUUGAGCGCUGAAGUUGCUUGUCCAUACCGUCUCAUUAUAAAGAGGUUCCCAACCUGUAAUAUAGUACUGCUUCAUUUUAAGUCACUGCUAUUGCACAUCCACCCAGAAUAAUAACAUUCUGGAAAGAAGCCCAGAAACUUAAAUCUUAUAAUUGUCACAUUGUCAUGUUAUAGUCACUAUUGUACAUACAUGCUUACCUACUAUAUAUUAUCUACUGUAUUUGUAAGAUACCUUUCAAGGUUUUGUUUUGCAUUAUUUCAAGAGUCAUCUUGUACCUUUUACAUGUGUUGGCCACGUAAUAAAAAGCCAUGACAGUUGG